CCUCUAUAUAAACAGCUGAUCAAUUUCCUUUUCCUAUACCAUUCUACUCUUUAAUCUCUUAUUAGUGAAAAACCAACGUGCAAGAAUGAAGCUUCUAGCAUUUUUACUAGCAGUGAUGAUGGUAGGAUCUUGCUUGGCUGGAAAUGAGCAAACCCUAGCUGUUACAAGGCAGCGGAUUGGUCGGCGCUUAAUGGACACCCUGCCGGAAGCUGAUCGGCAUCCAGAUGAAAGCAUUUCACACCACGAAAUUCCUAGAGACAAAUUUGAAAGACAAUAUGGUGGUGGUAGGGUUGGAAAUUGAGAAUUAUUAGGUGCCGAUGCAUUCACACGAGUGUCGGACAUACUAAAUAAUUUCUCAGAUCAUAGUCUAUAUAUUGCACGGAAAUUUAUCAAGUCAUAUAUAACGGUAUUUCACUUUUUGUCUUUGAAAAUACUUUUAAACCUUAAUAAUUUUAUAUUAUAACUUAUAUAUUCUUGUUAAAUAUAAUUUUAUUGUUUUCUGUUUGAUCAUUUCCUAUUUCCGUGCAAUAUUGUUUAGUAACAAUAAAUGUAUCCUCAUCCUAAUUCAGAAAAUUGAGAUGAGUAGCUAAGUAUAUAUUCUAGCUUGUACUGUGUAGAGCAGGAUUAAACUAUGCUUGUACAAUUAUAAAAUGAAUGUGAAAUAAAUCUUGUUGGCUGUGUUUGGUUUA